GUUAGCACAUCGAUUCCAGAAGAUACUUGGGGGUCGGUCUGGAAUUUGUUGUGCCCAUCAAAGAUCAAGAUUUUCAUUUGGAGAGUGUUACACAGUGCUAUACCUUGCCGCUCAAUACUUGCAAAUAAGCACAUGAAGGUUAAAGAUCAUUGUCCGGCUUGUAAUUUGGGGCCAGAUAACAUCCGUCAUUUGCUGUUUGAGUGCCCCAAGGCUGUUGAGGUAUGGAAGCUCCUAGGAAUAUAUGAUGUUAUUAAAAAGGCAAUUGCGGCUGAUAGGGCAGGAGAGGUUGUUUUGGAGCAUAUACUCUUUCUUCCAGAGAAUGAGGUUCUUGUGUUGGGACUACCAAAGCUGAGAGAAAUGGUGGCUACUGCAGCUUGGUAUUUAUGGUUCGAGUAUCUAAAGUUAACGCAUGGAGAAACAGUUCAGAAUGCAGCUCAAAUUAGCUUAGCAGUGAGGGGGCUUGCGGCUAAUUUUAUACUCUCGUUCAGCCCAAAAGUGAAAAUGAAACCCAAUGGGUGGAUGAGGCCAAGGCUCGGCUAUGCAAAGUUGAUUGUUGAUGCAAGUUUCGAUGUUGAUUCACUUGCAGGUUCAGUUGGAGCAGUACUACGAGACCACACCGGAAAAUUCUUGGCUGCUGCUAAUGAAAGGAUUGAAAUAUGUCUUGAUUCUUUCACUGCUGAAGCUAUAGCAGUUAGAUUUGGUAUAAAUCUGGCCCGUACAAUUGGCUGCAACAAGAUUGAGAUCAACUCGGACAGUUUCGAGGUGAUCUCAGCGUUGAAGGAGGGCUACUCUUCUUCAGUAGCAAGUGCUAUUUUUGACGACGGCUAUUUUAUGUCUUUAGAUUUUAAUCAUGUCAUCUAUGAGCAUUGUAAUAGAGAGAACAAUAUGGUGGCUCAUGAAUUGGCUAGAAUAGCUAGUUUCUCCCCUCCUAGUAUUUGGUUGGAAUCACCUCCUGUUGAGGUGAUACCUUUGAUUAUAAGUGACACAACCCUUGUGACAAUUGAAUAA
rnacentral:rRNA from 1 species